rnacentral:rRNA from 1 species
GACGAACGCUGGCGGCGUGCUUAACACAUGCAAGUCGAACGAUGAACCCGGAGCUUGCUCCGGUGGAUUAGUGGCGAACGGGUGAGUAACACGUGAGUAACCUGCCCUUGACUCUGGGAUAACUGCGGGAAACUGUAGCUAAUACCGGAUACGACCCUCGGCGGCAUCGCCAGGGGGUGGAAAGAAUUUCGGUCAAGGAUGGACUCGCGGCCUAUCAGCUAGUUGGUGAGGUAACGGCUAACCAAGGCGACGACGGGUAGCCGGCCUGAGAGGGUGACCUGCCACACUGGGACUGAGACACGGCCCAGACUCCUACGGGAGGCAGCAGUGGGGAAUAUUGCACAAUGGGCGAAAGCCUGAUGCAGCAACGCCGCGUGAGGGAUGAGGGCCUUCGGGUUGUAAACCUCUUUUAGCAGGGAAGAAGCGAAAGUGACGGUACCUGCAGAAAAAGCACCGGCUAACUACGUGCCAGCCGCCGCCGUAA